GUGCUCACUUCAGCAGCACAUAUACUAAAAUGGAAAUGAUACAGAUAAGAUUAGCAUGGCCCCUGCGCAAGGAUGCCACACAAAUUUGUGAAGAGUUCCAUAUUAAA
ensembl:snRNA U6 U6 spliceosomal RNA